rnacentral:rRNA from 1 species
UGGGGAAUAUUGGACAAUGGGGGCAACCCUGAUCCAGCAAUGCCGCGUGGGUGAAGAAGGUCUUCGGAUUGUAAAGCCCUUUCGGCGGGGACGAUGAUGACGGUACCCGCAGAAGAAGCCCCGGCUAACUUCGUGCCAGCAGCCGCGGUAAUACGAAGGGGGCUAGCGUUGCUCGGAAUGACUGGGCGUAAAGGGCGCGUAGGCGGGUUGCACAGUCGGGCGUGAAAUUCCUGGGCUUAACCUGGGGGCUGCGUUCGAGACGUGUGAUCUUGAGUGGGGAAGAGGGUCGUGGAAUUCCCAGUGUAGAGGUGAAAUUCGUAGAUAUUGGGAAGAACACCGGUGGCGAAGGCGGCGACCUGGUCCUUGACUGACGCUGAGGCGCGAAAGCGUGGGGAGCAAACAGGAUUAGAUACCCUGGUAGUCCACGCUGUAAACGAUGUGCGCUGGAUGUUGGGCGGCCUAGCCGUUCAGUGUCGUAGCUAACGCGGUAAGCGCACCGCCUGGGGAGUACGGCCGCAAGGUUGAAACUC